UACGAAGGGGGCUAGCGUUGCUCGGAAUCACUGGGCGUAAAGCGCACGUAGGCGGAUUUCUAAGUCAGGGGUGAAAUCCCGGGGCUCAACCCCGGAACUGCCUUUGAUACUGGUAGUCUCGAGUCCGGAAGAGGUGAGUGGAAUUCCGAGUGUAGAGGUGAAAUUCGUAGAUAUUCGGAGGAACACCAGUGGCGAAGGCGGCUCACUGGUCCGGUACUGACGCUGAGGUGCGAAAGCGUGGGGAGCAAACAGG
rnacentral:rRNA from 1 species